rnacentral:rRNA from 1 species
UACGUAGGGGGCAAGCGUUGUCCGGAAUCAUUGGGCGUAAAGGGUGCGUAGGCGGGCAGGUAAGUCCGUGGUGAAAUCUCUGAGCUUAACUCAGAAACUGCCAUGGAUACUAUUUGUCUUGAAUAUUGUGGAGGUAAGCGGAAUAUGUCAUGUAGCGGUGAAAUGCUUAGAUAUGACAUAGAACACCAAUUGCGAAGGCAGCUUACUACACAGUUAUUGACGCUGAGGCACGAAAGCGUGGGGAUCAAACAGG